rnacentral:rRNA from 1 species
AGGAAAAGAAACCAACAGGGAUUGCCUCAGUAACGGCGAGUGAAGCGGCAAAAGCUCAAAUUUGAAAUCCCCCCGGGGAGUUGUAAUUUGAAGAUUGCGUCUUGGAGGCGACCGUGUCUAUGUUCCUUGGAACAGGACGUCACAGAGGGUGAGAAUCCCGUGCGGCACGGCCCCCGGCUCCUUAUAAGGCGCUCUCGACGAGUCGAGUUGUUUGGGAAUGCAGCUCAAAGUGGGUGGUAAAUUCCAUCUAAAGCUAAAUACAGGCGAGAGACCGAUAGCGAACAAGUACAGUGAUGGAAAGAUGAAAAGCACUUUGAAAAGAGAGUGAAACAGCACGUGAAAUUGUUGAAAGGGAAGGGCAUGCCGUCAGAUUGUCAGUGUGGGUAAGAAGCGGGGUACAAAGACUGUGGAACGUGGCCCUCGGGUGUUAUAGCCGCAGUUCAUGCCCCGUCUCUUUCCGAGGCCUGCUUUGAGGACACCGACGUAAUGACGGUACGCCG